CUCAGGCGGCCCGCAGGGGGCGCCAAAGCCCCCUCUGACCCGCGGGCGCAGGACUCUCUGCCCUCAGACUGGGCUCGGUGAGCAGCUGGCGGGAGCUUUCUCUCCUCAGGGCCGUCAGGGCUCGGGCUUCUGACUGCUGCUGCUC